UGUUGAUACUGCUAAUGAGAGAACUGAUUUUUGUGGUUUCUGUGAUCUGAUGUCUUUUCUGUACCAGGAACCAUAAUGAGACCACCAUUUCAUUUCACACAGGUCACCAAGAAGCCUCAGAUGAUAGAGAGAUGAGAUAUGCUUUAAUGAGGCAGAAGGUGGGGGGAGGAGGAGGAGAACAAAGUCUUGCACUUUGGAAGCAAGAAUGUUCCUUGUUUAUCACUCAAACCCUGGUGCUUUGGAUUGGUAGAGGAAGUGGCUUCUACUUGGAAGCUCUUCAUGCAAUUCACAGCAAAGGUUGCAUAAUCUCCCACAUGUAGGUGAUACCCAGCUUUAUGGAUCCAACUCUUCCCUAGUCAGAUCAGGUCCCAUAUUUGAUGUCCUGUUGAAGAGCAAACGAAGCAUUAUGAUGCUAUUUUUUGCAGCAUAGAAAUCUAUGGUGA